GGGGAGAAUCGGAUGUAUUUUCUGUAGAUGUCCGUGGAUAUAUUAUUUACCUGAUUCCGAGUUCGUAUAAGAAAGUUAGUCCUAUUUUAAGAAAUGACACC
rnacentral:rRNA from 1 species